rnacentral:rRNA from 1 species
AGCUCCAAUAGCGUAUAUUAAAAUUGUUGCAGUUAAAAAGCUCGUAGUUGGAUUUCUGGCUUGGUGCGCGCCGUCCGCUUCCGUUAGGGAGUGUGUGCGGUUGUGCGCCUGCCAUCUUUUUAGACAUUAGCUGUGCCCUUCACUGGGUGGCAGGUAGUGGCUGAAUCUUUUACUUUGAAAAAAUUAGAGUGUUCAAAGCAGGCUUGCGCUAUGAAUACAUUAGCAUGGAAUAAUAAUUUAGGACUCCCGUUCUAUUUUGUUGGUUUCUAGGAUGGAAGUAAUGAUUGAUAGGGAUAGUUGGGGGUGCUAGUAUUCAGAGGCCAGAGGUGAAAUUCUCGGAUUCUCUGAAGACUAACUUAUGCGAAAGCAUUCACCAAGGAUGUCUUCU